AUUGAACGCUGGCGGCAGGCCUAACACAUGCAAGUCGAAUGGUAACAGGAAACAGCUUGCUGUUUCGCUGACGAGUGGCGGACGGGUGAGUAAUGUCUGGGAAACUGCCUGAUGGAGGGGGAUAACUACUGGAAACGGUAGCUAAUACCGCAUAACGUCGCAAGACCAAAGAGGGGGACCUUCGGGCCUCUUGCCAUCAGAUGUGCCCAGACGGGAUUAGCUAGUAGGUGGGGUAACGGCUCACCUAGGCGACGAUCCCUAGCUGGUCUGAGAAGAUGACCAGCCACACUGGAACUGAGACACGGUCCAGACUCCUACGGGAGGCAGCAGUGGGGAAUAUUGCACAAUGGGCGCAAGCCUGAUGCAGCCAUGCCGCGUGUAUGAAGAAGGCCUUCGGGUUGUAAAGUACUUUCAGCGGGGAGGAAGGGAGUAAAGUUAAUACCUUUGCUCAUUGACGUUACCCGCAGAAGAAGCACCGGCUAACUCCGUG
rnacentral:rRNA from 1 species